UACGAAGGGGGCUAGCGUUGCUCGGAAUCACUGGGCGUAAAGCGCACGUAGGCGGCUUUUUAAGUCAGGGGUGAAAUCCUGGAGCUCAACUCCAGAACUGCCUUUGAUACUGGAAGUCUUGAGUAUGGGAGAGGUGAGUGGAACUGCGAGUGUAGAGGUGAAAUUCGUAGAUAUUCGCAAGAACACCAGUGGCGAAGGCGGCUCACUGGCCCGGUACUGACGCUGAGACGCGAAAGCGUGGGGAGCGAACAGG
rnacentral:rRNA from 1 species